AACAGUUUGCUCGCUGAAUAUACAAUAAAAUACUCCAGCUUUAGUAUCCUCAUCGGUUGUCUCCGCACCACCGGGUCCAGGGGCGUCCACUGGGUCAGACACAGAGCAUCUCUUUGCUUUUAAAUUUGUCUGUGAGUGCUUCAUUAAGUUUGUCAUGUUCCUCCCUUCACACUUGUUGCAUGUCCUGGUGUUGAAAUCCCUGUGUUGAAAUCCUUUUCCAUGACAUGCAACCACACUUCGACCGUUUGAGGUGAGCGAAUCAACUAAAUGUAGGCUAAUGUUACACGCUGCCAGAGCCAUGUAGAUAGUCAAAUGUGAUGUUAACCAGGCACGUGUGGAGAUGUUUACUAUUUCAGUACAGUGCUCGGGCACCAAAAUGAGGCACUUAAAUCUCAGGUGUGAUUCGGUCGUGUAGGAACCAGUACCGGACUUUUGAACCAAAAACUAAUCUAUUCUCUAAAUUGUAUAGAUUGGUAAUCAGAAAUAAACUUAGCUGUAAGUGGCAUUUUGCUAUUUUUUCACCCAAAGCUGAAAUCAUAACUUUGCAGGUAUAGCUGUGUAUACCCAUACUAAUAAUAAUCCUAUGUGACUGCAGUCUUUUGUCCCUAUAAGUCAACCACAACCAGAUCCCGAUCUAAUCAAAUGUGACAAAGCUCUGCAGGGAAAGAUGAGCAGGGAUCUGGACUCGGCUCAUGGCAGUGUGGAAGCUGUUUGGACAAGGAUUAUCGCUUGCAUCAACAGGCCAACUCCUGCGCAGACGUGAGUCGCUUGGCAGAACAACCACCUGCAUGAUGACGCAACGGCCCAAGAAUUUAUCUUGCAGCGCUAUCAUGACAGCAUCUGAAACAUGCACACCCACCCAUUCCUUACGCCAUUACACCUAGACUCGGCACAGUCUGAGGAAAAUGGACAACAUCAGUCUUGGUGGAAUCAUUUGCUGAUCAUCGGUCUCAGUGGCUCAUCACCAAACGUAGGUCCACGUGGACACGUUGACAACUCAAGCAGCCGUUGACCCCUCCCUAGAAGUGGUCUGCUGAAAUGAAACUUGGCAGAGAGAGCCUGGGACAUGAACCCAUUGUUUCUGUGGAUUCCUUUCUGGAGGUCCAAGACGCAGAUUUCAUACAAAGAAGGGAUCCACGACUGCCCAGCUGUGAAGUGUGUAAACAUAGGAGACGAUUACGUGCGAAAAUAAUUGUGCUACGUGUCCUUAAACUGCCUCACCCCUGCUCCUAUGUGCAGUAUGUGAGCGCUGAUGCCCGUCUCGUGUGAACUCCUCACUGGUGUAAGAGGCUGAGGAGCUGACGUCAUGAACUCCACUUCACCUGCAUAGGCCGCCACUCAUGCAGAGAAAGCUGUCCUGGCCUCUGCCAUUCCUGCUUUGAAGCCAAUUAGCUAAUCUUCUCACCAGUUUGUCUAGGUAUGCAAACAGUGGCACACUAUCUGUGUGAAGAUCAGUGCAUUAGUCAAAAUGACGUUUAUUUAGCACAUUCAAAGGCAAAACAGGGAAUAGCUUUGAAUUCCAUUUAUGAUCUAUUAAGCCCUCUGAUUUAGAAGUUAAUCUAUGGGUUUGACACCUUGGCAGCUAUAUUGUCAUUAGAGUCACUAGUGCCGUUCUAAACCUGCCUGUUUGGAAUGGGCUGUUUCUUUGGCCUGUGUUAAUGCUGGUUGCAGCGGCAAGAAAAGUCCGGCUGAGCGACAGAGUGCACAGAACCCUGAAGCUGCACCACGGCUGCUGCACAAAGAGCUGUUCACCUGUUGAUUUAAUGGUCAGGGAAACUCCACACAGGAACCAGAAAUGGAAAAUGUGUUGCCAUUGUCAUGAACUCUCCAGCCUUCGUGAUCAACGUCCUUUCCAUUGAUGAGUGCCAGCCAUCAUCACUACAUUUAAAGGUUUUAUAUAAAUUGGACCUAAAGUGUGUCGAAAUUGCACCAAAUUUAUUACUGCUCUUCCUUGAGGUUUAAACAAUACACGUGCUGAGUGUGAAGACAAUAAGAUGAAAUUAUCCAAUUGCGGUCAAACCUGUGCUGCUAAACUUUGCAUAGUGCUGGGAAUCCUUCAUUAUUUAUUAAAGUAACGUAGUUGAUAAUGGUUAUAUAAACAUAACAGGCUGAAAAUAUUUUGAAUAUGUCUUUGCUGUUGGUAAAGAUAUAACUGUAUUUCUAUUUAGGGCUGUCUGGCCUAUUUUCGUGUUCUAUUUCCUUCUGGCAAAAGCCAAAUCCCCGGGCUACUGUAAGUCACUUCUCAGUGAAUCUGUCAAGUAACGUACAGACUUUGAUGCUGACCACUUUAGCUGUGUAACCCCAGUGUGCUGGAAAUAGGGCAAACAACAACAUGAAAACAUGAAGGGGUUUGGAGCUGGUGGCCACAGUGAGGCCUCAUUUCUGCUCCUGCUCGAAGUUUUCCAGAGAUCACAUCAGUCAAAUAAAAAUGGACAAUGUGCACAUAACUGCCGACGCAGCACAAGACAAAACAGAUUGUCAUGUUUCAUGUCAAAUCCUCUGCGGGAGAUAAGCAGUGAUUGACAGAGGAGAUCUUAGUGAUAUGGUGACAAUAGCAAGUUCUUUAGAGUUCAACAUUUCUGCAUACUGGCAGUGUCAUGAGGAGCCUGUGCUUUGUUAUCUUUAUGUAAUGAAACCAGUCCUGACUUUCCAUUGGUCAGAAUGGAAAACAAUACACAUUCUAGCCACUCCCGCUUUCAAUGGAUACCACCAUCUGUUUACUGGAACAAAGCAAGGCAGAAAUCGAAAAAUUUCCUAGUGAUCUCUGGAAAGGAUUAAACAGAAAUGAGCCCAUAUCCUCAUUACCCCCAACCCCCCGCCCCCCCAGCU